GGAGAAAGGAGAAAAAGUUGGAGAAAGGAGAAAAAAUAAAAUAUCUCUCCUUUUAAAAAAUUUUCUAAUAUUUCAAGAAAAAAUAUCUCAAAAGGAGAUGUUUUAUUCUAAUAGGAGAAAGGAGAACGGGGGUAGGAGAAAGGAGAAGAGGGGUGGGAGAAGGGAGAAGGGUACCCCCCUGUCCUCCCCCUCAUGUAUCAC
rnacentral:lncRNA from 1 species